rnacentral:rRNA from 1 species
UACGGAGGAUGCAAGCGUUAUCCGGAAUGAUUGGGCGUAAAGCGUCCGCAGGUGGCAAUGUAAGUCUGCUGUCAAAGCGUCUGGCUCAACCAGAUAAAGGCAGUGGAAACUACAUAGCUAGAGUAAGGUAGGGGUAGAGGGAAUUCCAGGUGUAGCGGUGAAAUGCGUAGAUAUCUGGAGGAACACCGGUGGCGAAGGCGGCAUCCUGGACCGGUAUUGACGCUGAGGCGCGAAAGCCAGGGGAGCAAACGGG